GUCUGACGUGUGGGAUGUGGGAGAGCGGAGUCAGAAGCUAAGCUUAGGGGCCUAGGAAAGGCAUCCCAGAGACGGCCACUGAAGUCCUCCUUGGAAAGAAUCUCGAAGACGACCCUGAUGGUCCAAUUCCCCAGCUCCUGGCAAGGGAACCGCUCCUGCUCCCUGCGAUUCCCAAGGACAGAGCUAGGAACUAGGCCUCCAGUCUGGGCGACUAAUCAAGAGGAAGGAACGUUCAAGAGCCGCCCCUUGGCCUCUAAUAAACCAAUGCAAGCUGCCGUUUCCUUAGUCCCGCCUCCGUCUCAAGUUUUCCCUUUCCUCUCCGUUUCCUCCCUCGAACCUAAUUUGUGUCUGAAAACUUUUGAGAGCCGCCCUCCAAUGGCGGCUGCGCCAAUGGCUUGAGCAACCGUCCUGGAUUGACCAAUCAGCGUCCGCAUUAUUGGAAAACUCAAUUCCCAGAUAGCCAAUGGGAAAGGAACUUCGGGGGCAGUGUGAAGCCUCAGGCCUUCCAUCUUGGAGUGGGGCAAAACCUAAGGAGGCCUUAGUCGGCAUUUUGCCGAAGCUCCUCAUUCUUCACUUUGCCUGCAGAUGGUCCCCCGUGGCAGGAGGACUUUGUCCCUGUUCUUUGACCCGGACGCCGGCUUGAAUCCCCCAUGGGAGGUCUAGAAGGAAACAGCCUGAUUCCGGAGCCGAGGCAGGCGCUGAACCCUGUAGCACUGCACACGCAGCCACCGCCUCGACUAAUGGAUGCGUGGGCAAGGGGCUGCUCCCUGAAUGGCUGCAAUCAGGGAAUCGGAGAAAGGCCAGCUUUAUUUGUGACACGUUGGGCGGGGUGGGCUCUGGGAAGCGCCGUAACCCUUCUCGACUCAGGGCCUCUCGCGUGGCCGCUUAGGAGGGACUUGGCCCCGCAGCCGCCUCUCCCUGUUGCCCAGAGGUUGUCCCAGGCACCCAGAGCCCCUCGAACCUUGCCCUUCGGCCUCCAGCCUCUCACCGCAGGUCAGGGCUCCUUGGGCUCACAUAACGCCCAGUACAACCAUAAGAGGUAGGAAUUCCUGUUCCCAUUUACAGAUGAGGAAACUGAGGCCCGGGUUAAGAUGCUUGCAGAAAACCACACGGUCAGAAAGUAAUAGCCCCAGAAUUCGAACCCUUGUUCUGAAAGCCAAAGCGUGGGGGAGUCCCCACUCUGCCUUCUGCUUCAGCCUUCUGCUUCAGAUUCUCCUGCUUCAGCCUCCUGGGUAGCUGGAACCACAGGCGCCCGCCACCACGACGGGCUAAGGCUAGUUUUUAUAUUUUUAGUAGAGACGGGGUUUCUCCAUUUUGGCCAGGCUGGUCUUGAACUCCUGACCUUAGGUGAUCCACCCGCCCCAGCCUCCCGAAGUGCUGGGAUUACAGGCGUGAGUCACCGCAAGACACCUUUAAAAGAUUAGCAGAAUAACAUCGGAUCAAAACUGUCUAGCCUGCAGUUCCCCUUAAUUUUGUAUUAUAAAAAGAAAACUAAACAGAGAAAACUUUAAAAGACAAUAUAAUGAUACCACGUAGAUUCCAGUACUUGUUAACAGUUUGCCAUAUUUGCUUCGUCUGUGUGUCUUUUCGGAACCAUUUGAAAAUUGUAGAUAUGACAUUUCACCCCAACACCAAAUACUGAGCAUGUAUCUCUUAAAAAUAAGGCCCUUGGCCAGGCGCGGUGGCUCACGCCUGCAAUCCCAGCACUUUGGGAGGCCAAGGCGGGCGGAUCACCUGAGGUCAGGAGUCCGAGACCAACCUGGCCAACAUGGUGAAACCCCGUCUCUACAAAAAAAUACAAAAAUUAGCCGGGCGUGGUGGCGCACGUGCCUAUAAUCCUAGCUACUGGGGAGGCUGAGGCAGGAGAAUCACUUGAAACUGGGAAGCAGAGGUUGCGGUGAGCUGGGAUGGGGCCACUGUACUCCAGCCUGGGCGACAGAGUGAGAUCCAUUUCAAAAAAUAAAAAUAAAGCCCUUAUUCUACAAUAA